rnacentral:rRNA from 1 species
UACGAAGGGGGCUAGCGUUGUUCGGAAUUACUGGGCGUAAAGCGAACGUAGGCGGUGUUCCAUGUCAGAGGUGAAAGCCUGGGGCUCAACUCCAGAAUUGCCUUUGAAACGGGGACGCUUGAGUCCGAGAGAGGAUGGCGGAAUUCCUAGUGUAGAGGUGAAAUUCGUAGAUAUUAGGAAGAACACCGGUGGCGAAGGCAGCCCCCUGGGUUAACACUGACGCUCAGGCACGAAAGCGUGGGGGGCAAACAGG